rnacentral:rRNA from 1 species
AUACCCUCGGGAAACUGAGGCUAAUAGUGUAUACCAUACCACCACUGGAAUGAGUGGUAUGCCAAACGCUCCGGCGCCGAAGGAUGUGGCUGCGGCCGAUUAGGUACACGGUGGGGUAACGGCCCACCGUGCCAAUAAUCGGUAUGGGUCAUGAGGAGUGAAAACCCUUAGACGGAAUCUGAGACAAGAUUCCGGGCCCUAC